UACGAAGGGGGCUAGCGUUGCUCGGAAUCACUGGGCGUAAAGGGCGCGUAGGCGGCCAUUCAAGUCGGGGGUGAAAGCCUGUGGCUCAACCACAGAAUUGCCUUCGAUACUGUUUGGCUUGAGUAUGGCAGAGGUUGGUGGAACUGCGAGUGUAGAGGUGAAAUUCGUAGAUAUUCGCAAGAACACCAGUGGCGAAGGCGGCCAACUGGGCCAUUACUGACGCUGAGGAGCGAAAGUGUGGGGAGCGAACAGG
rnacentral:rRNA from 1 species